GAUGAACGCUGGCGGCGUGCCUAAUACAUGCAAGUCGAGCGAACAGACGAGGAGCUUGCUCCUCUGACGUUAGCGGCGGACGGGUGAGUAACACGUGGAUAACCUACCUAUAAGACUGGGAUAACUUCGGGAAACCGGAGCUAAUACCGGAUAAUAUAUUGAACCGCAUGGUUCAAUAGUGAAAGACGGUUUUGCUGUCACUUAUAGAUGGAUCCGCGCCGGAUUAGCUAGUUGGUAAGGUAACGGCUUACCAAGGCAACGAUGCGUAGCCGACCUGAGAGGGUGAUCGGCCACACUGGAACUGAGACACGGUCCAGACUCCUACGGGAGGCAGCAGUAGGGAAUCUUCCGCAAUGGGCGAAAGCCGGACGGAGCAACGCCGCGUGAGUGAUGAAGGUCUUCGGAUCGGAAAACUCUGUUAUUAGGGAAGAACAAAUGUGUAAGUAACUAUGCACGUCUUGACGGUACCUAAUCAGAAAGCCACGGCUAACUACGUG
rnacentral:rRNA from 1 species